CGUGGAGACAGGUGGUGCAUGGCUGUCGUCAGCUCGUGUCGUGAGAUGUUGGGUUAAGUCCCGCAACGAGCGCAACCCUCACCCCUAGUUGCCACCGGGUAAAGCCGAGCACUCGAGGGGAACUGCCAGCGUCAAGCUGGAGGAAGGCGGGGAUGACGUUAAGUCAUCAUGCCCCUUACGCCCUGGGCUACACACGUGCUACAAUGGCCGGUACAAAGGGACGCGAGACUGCAAGGUGGAGCUAAUCCCAAAAAACUGGUCUAAGUUCAGAUUGCAGUCUGCAACUCGACUGCAUGAAGGAGGAAUCGCUAGUAAUCGCGCAUCAGCACGGCGCGGUGAAUACGUUCCCGGGCCUUGUACACACCGCCCGUCACACCACGAAAGCUGUCUGUACUCGAAGUCGCUGAG
rnacentral:rRNA from 1 species